ACGACGCUGGCAGGCGUGCCUAAUACAUGCAAGUCGAGCGAACAGAAGGGAGCUUGCUCCCGGAUGUUAGCGGCGGACGGGUGAGUAACACGUGGGUAACCUGCCUGUAAGACUGGGAUAACUCCGGGAAACCGGAGCUAAUACCGGAUAGUUCCUUGAACCGCAUGGUUCAAGGAUGAAAGACGGUUUCGGCUGUCACUUACAGAUGGACCCGCGGCGCAUUAGCUAGUUGGUGGGGUAAUGGCUCACCAAGGCGACGAUGCGUAGCCGACCUGAGAGGGUGAUCGGCCACACUGGGACUGAGACACGGCCCAGACUCCUACGGGAGGCAGCAGUAGGGAAUCUUCCGCAAUGGACGAAAGUCUGACGGAGC
rnacentral:rRNA from 1 species